AAAAAAUUAAAACCCAAACGACUCUUCGUUUAGCCCCGAACUCAAACUGGCCGCUUAAGCCAGUUUAGUUUGGACUUCCUACACCAGUUCGCCGAUGGACUGGGCGGGGUCAAACCCUCAGUGGGAUCAUCUACAUCGGACCGCUUACUGGAAUGCUGCCGGCUGGUAAGUUAAAUUAGGUGGAUCGCGGAUGCUGAAGAAUGUCGCUUUUCGUCAGUAGCCGUUAAAUACAAAGAAGACGACUACACACGUAGAACUGGUAGUGGAGGAUUUGCGGACGCGGGUUCAAUUCCCGCCGGCUCCACCA
rnacentral:tmRNA from 1 species